rnacentral:pre_miRNA from 1 species
CAUGUACUCCCUCCGUCCGGAAAUACUUGUCGGAGGAAUGGAUGUAUCUAGACGUAUUUUAAUUCUAGAUAUAUCCAUUUUUAUGCAUUUCUCCGACAAGUAUUUCCGGACGGAGGGAGUAAAUG